rnacentral:lncRNA from 1 species
GAUACAUUAAAAUACGCAACCAACCGUCAUUGAACCGUCCAAUCAGAUCAAAGGAGUAAUCGUCGUAGAUCGUGCGUUAUCGAUAAUGUUCGGUGCCUGGAGAAAAUUGACAAUUGACAAGAGAAUUGUUUAUUAUUUUUGACUUUUUAGUUCGUUUAAUUUAAUAAUUACUAAAACCAGUAGUUCGAAAGAUAUAUUUAAAAAUAAAAGAUAAAAAUCCAAAAAAUUAAUUAUCUAUUAACGUGGAUUUGGACGACAAUAGGUUUUUAGUUUGUGAUGUUUCAUGUGAUGAUCAUUUUCAUGUCCAUCGUAUUUGAAUUGACAUGAGGAUAUCUAUGGAAAAGUAACUAAUCUGAAAGUAAGCCAACAUAUCGUUCGUCCUUUGUGUGCUAAAGAAAAGAUUUUCUUUUCGUAUCAUGAGGAAGUAUUACAUCAAUUAAAAAAUGUUAGGAAGUUGAUUACUUGUCAUGGAAAAGUAUACCAAUGGAAAUUAUUUGUUAAAGAAGUAUAAUUCUAAGGGUUUUAAGAAUAAAUUGGUUGAACCCAAAAUCUGGAGGAAGUACCUAUAUCCAUACACAGAAUAUGCCCAUUAAAAAUACUAGUCCAAAUUUGCUUUAAUGGUAGACAAUUAUUCAAUACAAAUUAACUUUUUAAGUGACUGAAAUAUUAAAUAGUUUAGAAUAUGGUAUAACAAUGUAAAAAAAUAUUAUUUUCAGGAACGAUUAGGGCCCGAUAUAUUUGAAACUCAUGUUGGACAUAGUAUUGAGUUGGGUAGAAUAUUAUUCUACGUUAAGUGAGGGUAUCAGAUACCUAUUAUUGUACUGUAUUUUAAUAUAUACAUUAGAAUUGUUGGUUUUUU